UAUCUCGGCUCUCGCAUCGAUGAAGAACGUAGCGAAAUGCGAUACUUGGUGUGAAUUGCAGAAUCCCGUGAACCAUCGAGUCUUUGAACGCAAGUUGCGCCCGAAGCCUUUCGGCCGAGGGCACGUCUGCCUGGGCGUCACGCA
rnacentral:rRNA from 1 species